rnacentral:rRNA from 1 species
UACAGAGGUCUCAAGCGUUGUUCGGAUUCAUUGGGCGUAAAGGGUGCGUAGGCGGGUAGAUAAGUCGGGCGUGAAAUCCCUAGGCUCAACCUAGGAACUGCACUCGAAACUGUUUAUCUUGAGUGCCGGAGAGGAAAGCGGAAUUCCUGGUGUAGAGGUGAAAUUCGUAGAUAUCAGGAGGAACACCAGUGGCGAAGGCGGCUUUCUGGACGGUAACUGACGCUGAGACGCGAAAGCGUGGGGAGCAAACAGG